rnacentral:lncRNA from 7 species
AUGCGGCGUUGGGCUGUCGGACCAACAUCUUCCAGAUCCAGAGGGCUCCCGGAAGGAAACACACCGAGAAGCACGCCGCCGCCGCCGGCUCCGCCGUCCACAUCCACCCGCAGGCGGCCCCCGUCGUCUGCCGGCACGUGCUCGAUACGCUCAUCCAGCUGGCCAAGGUGGGGUGGGGGGGAUUUAGGGGCUCCUCAUGAGGGGUUUUGGGGGGCUCUGGGGCAGGUCCUGGGGGGCUUUGGGGGGCUCUGGAGCAUCUUAGGGGGCUCUGGGACGGGUCCUGGGGGGCUUUGGGGGCUCCACAUUAGGCCUUGGGGGGCUCUGGGGCAGGUCCUGGGGGGCUUUGGGGGGUCCCAAUCGGGUCCUGGGAGGUUUUGGGGGGCUCUGGGGCAGGUCCUGGGGGUCUUUAGGGGCUCCUCAUUAGACCUUAGGGGUUUUGGGGGGCUCUGGGGCAGGUUCUGGGGGGCUUUGGGGGGCUCUGGAGCAUCUUAGGGGGCUCUGGGACGGGUCCUGGGGGGCUUUGGGGGGUCCCAGUCGGGUCUGGGGGACUUUGGGGGGCUCUGGAGCAUCUUAGGGGGCUCUGGGGCAGGUCCUGGGGGGCUUUGGGGGGCUCUGGAGCAUCUUAGGGGGCUCUGGGACGGGUCCUGGGGGGCUUUGGGGGGUCCCAGUCGGGUCCUGGGAGGCUUUGGGGGGCUCUGGAGCAUCUUAGGGGGCUCUGGGACGGGUCCUGGGGGGCUUUGGGGGGUCCCAGUCGGGUCCUGGGGGACUUUGGGGGCUCUGGAGCAUCUUAGGGGGCUCUGGGACGGGUCCUUGGGGGCUUUGGGGGCUCCACAUUAGGCCUUGGGGGCUCUGGGGCAGGUCCUGGGGGGCUUUGGGGGUCCCAAUCGGGUCCUGGGAGGUUUUGGGGGGCUCUGGGGCAGGUCCUGGGGGUCUUUAGGGGCUCCUCAAUAGACCUUAGGGGUUUUGGGGGGCUCUGGGGCAGGUCCUGGGGGGCUUUGGGGGGUCCCAGUUGGGUCCUGGGAGGCUUUGGGGGGCUCUGGAGCAUCUUAGGGGGCUCUGGGACGGGUCCUGGGGGGCUUUGGGGGGUCCCAGUCGGGUCCUGGGGGACUUUGGGGGGCUCUGGAGCAUCUUAGGGGGCUCUGGGACGGGUCCUUGGGGACUUUGGGGGCUCCACAUUAGGCCUUGGGGGGCUCUGGGGCAGGUCCUGGGGGUCUUUAGGGGCUCCUCAUUAGACCUUAGGGGUUCUGGGGGGCUCUGGGGCACGUCUUGGGGGGCUUUAGGGGCUCCACAGCAGACUUUGGGGGGCUCUGGGGCAGGUCCUGGGGGGCUUUGGGGGCUCCACAUUAGGUCUUGGGGGGCUCUGAGGCAGGUCCUGGGGGUCUUUAGGGGCUCCUCAAUAGACCUUAGGGGUUUUGGGGGGCUCUGUGGCAGGUCCUGGGGGGCUUUGGGGGGCUCUGGAGCAUCUUAGGGGGCUCUGGGACGGGUCCUGGGGGGCUUUGGGGGGUCCCUAUCGGGUCCUGGGAGGCUUUGGGGGGCUCUGGAGCAUCUUAGGUGGCUCUGGGGCAGGUCCUGGGGGGCUUUAGGGGCUCCACAGCAGACUUUGGGGGGCUGUGGGGCACGUCCUGGGGGGCUUUAGGGGCUCCUCAUUAGACCUUAGGGGUUUGGAGGGGCUCUGGGGCAUGUCCUGGGGGGCUUUAGGGGCUCCCCUUUGGACCCUAGGGGUUCUGGGGGGCUCUGGGCAUGUCUUGGGGGGCUUUAGGGGCUCCACAGCAGACUUUGGGGGGCUCUGGGGCAGGUCCUGGGGGGCUUUGGGGGGCUCUGGAGCAUCUUAGGGGGCUCUGGACGGGUCCUGGGGGCUUUGGGGGGUCCCAAUCGGGUCCUGGGAGGUUUUGGGGGCUCUGGGGCAGGUCCUGGGGGUCUUUAGGGGCUCCUCAUUAGACCUUAGGGGUUUUGGGGGGCUCUGGGGCAGGUCCUGGGGGGCUUUGGGGGGCUCUGGAGCAUCUUAGGGGGCUCUGGGACGGGUCCUGGGGGGCUUUUGGGGGUCCCAAUCGGGUCCUGGGAGGCUUUGGGGGGCUCUGGAGCAUCUUAGGGGGCUCUGGGGCAGGUCCUGGGGGGCUUUGGGGGGUCCCAAUCGGGUCCUGGGAGGUUUUGGGGGGCUCUGGGGCAGGUCCUGGGGGUCUUUAGGGGCUCCUCAAUAGACCUUAGGGGUUUUGGGGGGCUCUGGGACAUGUCCUGGGGGGCUUUGGGGGGUCCCAGUUGGGUCCUGGGAGGCUCUGGGGGGCUCUGGGGCAUCUUAGGGGGCUGUGGGGUAGGUCCUGGGGGGCUUUAGGGGCUCCUCAAUAGACCUUAGGGGUUUUGGGGGUCUGUGGGGUACGUCCUGGGGGGCUUUGGGGGUUCCUCAUUAGACAUUAGGGGGCUCUGGGGCACAUCCUGGGGGCUUUAGGGGCUCCUCAAUAGACCUUUGGGGUUUGGGGGGGCUCUGGGGCACAUCCUGGGGGUUCCGGGGGGGGGGGGGGGGGGGGGGCGGGGGGGUUCCUCACCUUCUAUGGGGUCAUCUGCAGGCUGCUCUGGACCGAAGCCCCAUAACCUGUGAUGGGAGGGGUGGGGUGGGGGGGGGGCGCAGCGCAUCCUUUCUUCCCCUGGAACAUCUCUUUUUUUUUCUCUCUGUUUUCUCCCCUUUCCCCCCAUUUUUUUCACUGAUCCUUCCCCCCCCCUUUUCUGACCCCCCCCUUUUUGACACCCCCCCCUCCCCAUUUUUGACCCCCCCCCACAGGUAUUCCCAGCCACUUCACCCAGCAGCGCGCCCGUGACCCCCACCCGACCCCAACACCAAUGACCGUGGCAGCAGCAGCAGUGGCAGCGGCAGCAGCAGCAGCGCCCCCAAACCGGGGGGGGGGGCAGCCCCUGCCCCCCACCCCCGCCCCGACCACCCCCAGCCCCAAUCCCCCCACCCCGACCGCCCCCGCCAUGGGGCUGAGCACCGACUUCUGGGACCUGCUGGUCAAGCUGGACAACAUGAACGUCAGCAGGAAGGGGAAGGGCUCGGCCAAAGCCGGGCCGGGGGGCGGGGGUCCCGACGGGGAAGUGGGGGGGUCCGGGUUGGAGGCGUCCCCCUGGGGCAGCUGAUGAACAUGCUGUCCCACGGCGUCAUCCGGCGCAGCGCUCUGCUGACCGAGAAGCUGCUGAGGCUGCUGUCCCUCAUCUCCAUCGCCCUCCCCGAGGGGGGGAAAGGGGCCGAGGGGGGUCCGGGACCCCCACCGGGAGCGGGGUGGGGAGCGGCGGUGCGGCGGGGGCGGCUCACAGCCCCACGGCUGCUGCGGGAGGAGCGGCUGCGACCGGCGGUGGGAGCGCUGCUGCGGGGGGUGAGUGCUGGGGGGGGGGGCGUUAAGGGGGGGUGGGUGUUAAGGGGUGGGGGUGUUUAAGGGGAUG